GCCGGGGUGGUGGAAUGGUAUACACGCAGGACUUAAAAUCCUGUGGCUGCAUAAGUCAUAAGGGUUCGACUCCCUUUCCCGGUA
rnacentral:tRNA from 1 species